AGACUUAUUCAUUCGGAUUACCUCAGAUUUAUUAUAUGAUCGAUUGUUUUCCGAAUGUUAAACCUCUCCUCAUUGCCAAUCAUGGUUAUGAUCAUUAGGAUGCAUAUUAUUUCAAAGCGAGAUCCGAGAAAAAGGGUAAAGGCGAAGGCGUGAUGACGACUCGCUUCCUGUAGAGUGAUCCACACACACACACACAACAUCCUUGUUCACCCUGGUUGUCGGAAAAGACCUGCCAGUCUGUUAUAUGUUGGAUUAUCACCCAUAUGUUUAUUGAUCAACAAAUGAGAUGAUGUAUAGGAACAUUCCUGACUGACUGCCAGUUCCACUGUUUCUUAUUCUACCACUGAUAUUGUGAACCAUGGCAGUCCGGAUUUCUGUGAGAUGCCGGGUGAUGGAUUUCGUUACACACUGUGUUUUCUUCCUUCUGUACAUGACUGCUUUGGGACAGGCCCAAAAAUCCAACCAUUUUAAAGAAAAAGAUUUGAUGAUACACACAUUCCUGAAUCCUAGCAUCAGGAACUACAGUUAUUUAUAUAUUGACAAUGCCACAGGGUCAUUAUUUGUUGGUGCUAGGAACCGUUUAGUACAGUUGAGUUUAAUUAAUAUCAAUGCUUCAGAUAGCGUGAAAAUACUAGAAGUUCCAGCUUCUGAAUCAAAUAGGAAACCAUGUUUUUUCAAUGGAAAGUCUAAUGAAUACUGUCAGAAUUAUAUAAAGUACGUCGUGCGAGUGGACAACCUCACUCUGUCUUUCUGUGGUACAGAUGCCAAUACUCCAUCACAGUACACGGCAGCGUACAAUGUAACUACAGGUUCUUAUGAAUUUACCAGUAAAUCAUCCAAGGCCACAGCCUGUCCUCGUGAUCCCAAAGACAACACUACAGCAGUCUAUGUCAGAACUGGUAAUCCGGGUGACCUGCCUGCUCUCUAUGCAGCAACAAUCAAUGACAAUGGAAAGGCCACCAUCUCUAGACCCGAACUGAUCACGUCUGAUUCGACUAAAUUAAGCGAUAAGCUUGAGAAUGCUGAUCCUCUUCACUGGCUCAAUGAGCCCCAGUUUGUGGCAUCCUUUGAAGUUGAUGAUGUUGUUUAUUUCUUCUUCCGAGAAAUUGCAGUAGAAUUCACUGGUUUUAUGAAAAAAAUUGUAUCUAGAGUGGCACAGGUCUGUAAGAAAGACCUGGGAGGAAGUAGUUUACUUGUCAACAAAUGGACAACAUAUCAGAAAGCCAGACUUAACUGUUCCUUACCGGGAACAUUUCCAUUUUACUUUGAUGAAAUUCAGGAUGUUCAGUUGGUGAAUGACACUUUUUAUGCAUUGUUCAUCUCGUCUGCGAAUGGGUCGUCAGGCUCAGCUAUCUGUGCCUUCACUGUGCAGUCUGUCAAGGACCGGUUUGCUGACCGAGUGUACAAGUACAGAGAGACCUUGACCUCUGUCUAUUCCCCCCUUCCCGCAGAAAAGAUCCCUGCCGACAGCUCUCCCGGCAAGUGUAUUGAGAAUUCAAAGACCCUGAAGGACGUUGAGGAGAACUUUAUGAUGGAGUAUCCACUGAAGGAUGCCCCUGUACAACAGAAGGGGGGUGCUCCCCUCGUCUUCUUGGACGACAUUCAGAUGCAUGUGCUGCAGAUAGACAAAGAGCGAAGUCAACAGGGAGGGUCCCUCAUAUUGUAUGCUGGCUCCAACACUGGUGAUGUGUACAAGAUUCACUCAUGGGACAGCGGCAAGAAACAGGCUAUAGCUACUGUGUUCUCUCCCCUGACCAGCUAUGAGGGCAUCCGGGAUAUGAAGUUCCUGAAUGAUACUCUGUACAUCAGCACAGACUCGUCUGUCAAACAGUUUGGUGUGGUUGUGUGCGACAAGUACAACAAGGUUGACGCCUGUCUCUAUGACCCAUACUGCACCUGGAAAGGCAGCAUCUUCGCCGGAGUUUGUCAAGUCAGGAAACCAGGUAUGAAUUUAUACACUCAUGAGAGCAUUCCAAAGCUAAUGGAAGAUUACUUCAAGAAAGCAGGAGAAGACAUAACCGAUAGAAGUGUUGGCCGUGGAUUGUCCACCACUCUGCCCCAUUACUAUCCUUUUACCUUGGAUGGAAAGAAGGUGACAUGGCGACAUAACAAAACAAAUGAGGAAGUGAAGUUGGAUACAAACAAUAUGAAGACAUGUAACCAGGAUCUGGUUCUGUCUCGAGCUACAGAGAAGGAUGAAGGAACAUACGUUGCUUAUCUUGGAGACAGAAAGCUUAAUACAGUGAAAGUUACAUUGCUGAUUUCAAACGAGGACAUGGAGAAUGCCUGGAAAGCUAGGUUUACAGAGUGGUGUGAAGUCUUUGAUCAGGUGAAAAAAUACUCUGCCAGCUGCAAUCAAGGAUCUUGCUAACAAAGAAAGGGGGAAAGAAAAACACAUUACUCGGAUAAAAUGUCAUAUUCCAUCAGGUAAAUACAUGCGCAUUCAACUUUGGAUUUUAGGAUAUUUCGUAUGAAACUUUACAUCAGUGUGAAUGGGCUUGGAUCAAUCCAAACUGGUUAAUUCCAGUCUUUUCUGAGGGAGAACUGUGAAAGAAGAUUAUUCCAGGUCAUAUACUAUUACUGGAACAUGUCCAAGUCAUUCAAAAAUUUUUUGUUUUUAACUUCUGCCAUUUUGAAUAAGUGUCACCAUGGAAACAUGCAUCAUACCGGGAUAUGUGCGUGUGUUAGUACAUGUGUCUAUCUGUUUGUGUGUGUGUAAUCAACAUUUGUGUUAUUGUUGAGCACGGAAAUUGUUUUCAUGGUACUACAAAAGUUGCUGUAAUGCGCAAUGCGACUAACUUCCAUUUAUAUGAGAAUAUUUCAUAUUGAUGUGGAUUCAAGAAACACAGGAUCUACACAGGAUCAGUAUUUAUACGCAAGAAUUGUCUAGUCAGAGAUAAAUCCCAUAAUUGAUGUGUGUGAGGAGGAAUCUAUACAAAAUGUAGCUGUGUUGUCCACUUCAAGAGGAAUCCAAUACAACAUAUACCUGUGUUUUCCACUUAAGAAACUCAACCCGAGCAUUGAAAGGGGAGAUAAAUACACUGUGAUAGCAAUGUGGACAUGCUAGAAUCAAAGCUUUAAUCAAAUUUGCUACAUGUAGUGUUUGCUUCCAUAGUGAGUUAGCCAUAUGUUUAUAUCUUUGCAUUUUUUGUUUAUUUGUUUGGCCAGUAGCAAAUGGGUCAUUUUAUGUUAGAAUUUGGUUUUUCCAGUAUGAACGAGUAGAUUUGCCUUGUAUUAAUUGCCGUUUUACCUAAAGAAGUGAUAGCUCCUCACAAUCAACUCACUAGUUUUUUUAACAAAUAAGUAUUAAGGUUUAAGUUUGGUAUUAAUACUUUUAACUCAUGAAUAAAUAAAAUGUAAUUAAACUUUUAUUGUCUCAUGUAUUAAAAGUAUUGUAAUUAAUCAGCUAACAAAAUGAUAUAACUUACGCUUUUCAUUGUUUUCAGUCUACUGGUAUCUGCAGAAAUCUUUGAAGAAUUUUCUUCUUGAAAUCUACUUGUCGAGUAAAAUAAUGUGAAUUUGUAUUAUGUUUUAGUUUGAAUUAUUUUUUAGCCAAUGGACAAUACACAAUAAUGCAUUAUAUAAUGCCUUAAAGUUUAGUUAAAGCUAGUGCUUAUUCCAUCCUCAGAACAGCUAGCACUGUAGAAGGCUUUUAGUGGACUUUCGUGAUAUACAAAUUUCUUUGUAAUAUGUAUGUGUUCAAAGCCAACAACCUCUGUAGAAGUUUAAUCAUAUUUUUCUUAAUUUGAACUAGUGUAUUUGUACUUAUUGAUAAAUGCAGAAUGAUAAUGAAGUUCUGUAUCUUGUGUACAAGUACUUUCAAGGUCAGGUAAUUAAAAACAAAUAAAAAAGAUUUAAGAUUCAACAAGUAAUGAAUCUGAUUUUGGUUGCAAUAUAUAUCUUGCCAUAUGAUACUGUGUUCAUUUGCAAGUUCAUUUGAUUGACACAUGAAUGUGUAUUUCGGAUUUACAAGUUUUUAACACACUCCACAUUCUGCAAUCUCGAACCAUCGUUGUUAUUUCUCUGUUAAACUACAAAGCACAAGUUUUACAGAUACUUUAACCAUGUUAACUGAUAACUGGGAUUUUUUUUUGCAAACUAUGUAUGUACAAGACUUAAUUAAAAUUUCAUAUUUGAGGCUUCUUGGUAUGUGGCUUGCUAUUCAGAGGUAUACAUGUAGUUACAUAAAGUAAAAGACUGCAACUUUAGAAAUAUAAGUAGAUUUAUGCAUCAGCCUUGAAUUUCAUAUCCCUAGUACUGGUGCAGUAUCUACUAGACUUAAUAACCAGUGCAGGCAAGAUGACCAGCGAUAUGUUUGGUAUAAUGAAGAAAACUUCUGUUUUUAAGUUUUUGUUAGUAGUCAAAAUCAGUCAUUAACUAAAUUGCAUCAGUAAAACUUUGGCAGAUUUGAUGUUUAGGCAUAUGUUCAAACUGAAAUGAUUUGAACAGAAUAUUUGAACAAGAUAAACAUUCAGAUCUUAAGUUUAUAUUUUGCAUGUAAUUUAGGAUUUAUUCAAUACAUGUAUAAACAUAUUAACUCAAUAACUGGUAGAUGGAAAAAUGCUUGUACUUAUGAUGGGAAAAUGCAUGUGCAUUUAAAUCUAAUUAUUGAUACAAGUACUGGUAUAGUCUGCAUUUCAAUUUUUAAAAAACUUGAGAAUUUGUAUUGAUUAAAUUUAUAUUGUUUAUAAAUGCAUGAAACAAAGUUUGUAAUGUCAUAUUGAUGGUACUUCCAAAAUUGAUAGAUCAACAAAUAAUCGUUAUUAACCUUGAUAUUAAACGAAGUAAGAGUUAAUCUGGUACAUGUAUUAAUUGUUCACAGUUUGUUACUCACUCACAAUCUAUGAUCAGUGUUUGAUGCAUUUUUUAUAAUUGGAGCUUGCUGCUGCAAGAAAGAGUUGUGUUUAUUUAUUUCAGGCAUAAAUUCAAAGGAUCAUUUUACAUUUGCAACAUAAGGUCUACUGCAUUUUUUCAGAAUCUCUGAUGUAGUCUCCUUUGUGUACAAAAUCUUUGGUCAUCAUUACAGCUGUAAUAUACUUUGUGUUCACAGAUGUAAAAGUUAAGAGAUUUGAAUUUGGUAAUUUUACAUGUAAAAAUGUUUUUCCUUUCAUCCAAGAGCUUAACCUUGAGUUUGUUCAGAUCAUUAUUUUACUUAAUUUAUAAAAUCUAUUGCAUGUCUUGAAUAAAGUUUAUGACAUUG